UACGUAGGGUGCAAGCGUUAAUCGGAAUUACUGGGCGUAAAGCGCACGUAGGCGGAUUGGAAAGUCAGAGGUGAAAUCCCAGAGCUCAACUUUGGAACUGCCUUUGAAACUCCCAGUCUUGAGGUCGAGAGAGGUGAGUGGAAUUCCGAGUGUAGAGGUGAAAUUCGUAGAUAUUCGGAGGAACACCAGUGGCGAAGGCGGCUCACUGGCUCGAUACUGACGCUGAGGUGCGAAAGCGUGGGGAGCAAACAGG
rnacentral:rRNA from 1 species